GAGGGUGUAGCUCAGUGGUGGACCACGUGCUUAGCAUGCACGAGGUCCUGGGUUCAAUCCCCAGUGCCUCCU
rnacentral:tRNA from 1 species